UACAGAGGUCUCAAGCGUUGUUCGGAUUCAUUGGGCGUAAAGGGUGCGCAGGUGGCGAGGCAAGUCGGAUGUGAAAUCCCCGGGCUCAACCUGGGAACUGCAUUUGUGACUGCAUCGCUAGAGUACGGCAGAGGGGGGAUGGAAUUCCGCGUGUAGCAGUGAAAUGCGUAGAUAUGCGGAGGAACACCGAUGGCGAAGGCAAUCCCCUGGGCCUGUACUGACGCUCAUGCACGAAAGCGUGGGGAGCAAACAGG
rnacentral:rRNA from 1 species